GGCGAACGCUGGCGGCGGCCUAACACAUGCAAGUCGAACGAACCCUUCGGGGUUAGUGGCGGACGGGUGAGUAACACGUGGGAACGUGCCUUUAGGUUCGGAAUAACACAGGGAAACUUGUGCUAAUACCGAAUGUGCCCUUCGGGGGAAAGAUUUAUCGCCUUUAGAGCGGCCCGCGUCUGAUUAGCUAGUUGGUGAGGUAAUGGCUCACCAAGGCUACGAUCAGUAGCUGGUCUGAGAGGAUGACCAGCCACAUUGGGACUGAGACACGGCCCAAACUCCUACGGGAGGCAGCAGUGGGGAAUCUUGCGCAAUGGGCGAAAGCCUGACGCAGCCAUGCCGCGUGGAUGAUGAAGGUCUUAGGAUUGUAAAAUCCUUUCACCGGUGAAGAUAAUGACUGUAGCCGGAGAAGAAGCCCCGGCUAACUUCGUGCCAGCCGCCGCUGUAAUAC
rnacentral:rRNA from 1 species